UUGGGUGCAAUCACUAUAGCAACCAGGCUCACACCUGCCUGCUUAACGAGUUCUGUCUCUCACUCUGCCAUGGUUAAACCUAAAAAUGUCUGUUGCAUCUAAGCAGUUGUAGUAAGAUUAACUUUUUCAAUAGGUACAAUAAGACAGAUUUGACAGGGUUUUGCCACAGAUUAAUAUCCCAACUAAGUAGACCAUUGUGAUUGGCCUGUUAAAUUCAACCUUAUAGUUUAGUGGUGGACUUGUCUUCUACACAGUGGUUUUUCAGAUCUGGGCAGUUGGAGUCAGUUGAUGACUUUAAAAUAAUCUUUUCUGACUGGAUAAUUAAAGCUCACAGCAUUUACCUGUCUGUAGUUGAUUUUCCCACAUUUUAACUUUUAACUAAUCUAAUCUCAUUUAAUGUCUCUGUUUAUAGUCUGUAUAGUUUAUCCCCCCACUAACACACUUAAAGUAGUCUUAAAAUAAAACCCACAAAACAGUUCAAGAUGAUAUACUUUUUAUUUGCUCAUUUAAUGCCAUUUGCCCUCUUUCUCUGUUUGUCACUCAUUUGCUUAUACUCACUCAAAGUACCAAUUUGUACUGAUGAGUCUAGUGUAUUUUUUUCCCUCUUUCUCUCUGUCUCACACACACAGACCAACACACAGACAUGUAUAUGCUCAUUAUUGCUCUUCAAACUGAUGGUCAAAUUUCCAAGCACCACCUGAACGCCUCAUUUGUUUUUAACCCAUCACGGGACCAACUGUCGUCAUUCCGCUUUGCUCUCUGCUGUGGAACCUGACUGACAUCUGUGCUUUGACUGUGUGCAGAAGAAGAACAAGGACGAGAUCUCCAGUCUUCUGUCUCACAUCCCAACCCCCCAUCCC